AUUAUUUGUUUGAGGCGGUACCAUGGCCAAUGAGGGGUACCCGAGGCGUGGUUAUUGCUAGUUGAAAACAAAUUGUUAAAAGUGGAAUAUAUUGGUUAGAUUCCAUAUUUUUUAUCAUUUAUUUGUUUCAGUCAUUGGACU